UUGACAUCCAGAGAACUUGGCAGAGAUGCCCUGGUGCCUUCGGGACCUCUGAGACAGGUGCUGCAUGGCUGUCGUCAGCUCGUGUUGUGAAAUGUUGGGUUAAGUCCGCAACGAGCGCAACCCCUAUCCUUUGUUGCCAGCGAUUCGGUCGGGAACUCAAAGGAGACUGCCGGUGAUAAACCGGAGGAAGGUGGGGAUGACGUCAAGUCAUCAUGGCCCUUACGAGUAGGGCUACACACGUGCUACAAUGGCGCAUACAAAGAGAAGCGACCUCGCGAGAGCAAGCGGACCUCAUAAAGUGCGUCGUAGUCCGGAUCGGAGUCUGCAACUCGACUCCGUGAAGUCGGAAUCGCUAGUAAUCGUAGAUCAGAAUGCUACGGUGAAUACGUUCCCGGGCCUUGUACACACCGCCCGUCACACCAUGGGAGUGGGUUGCAAAAGAAGUAGAUAGCUUAACCUUCGGGAGGGCGUUUACCACUUUGUGAUUCAUGACUGGGGUGAAGUCGUAACAAGGUAAGCGUAGACGU
rnacentral:rRNA from 1 species